GCUUUGAUGUCAUAUAGUAUCUGAACAGAGCAAUGUUCUUGAUGAUGCAGAUAAGAAACGUGGGAAGCCACAAGAAAGCCAAGUAGCCUGGGAAAAAGUGGUCAUUGAGCCAUGAGAAAAAAUUAACAUUUGAUCCUGUUGGUGCCACCUGAAGGCAGAGAUGGCUGAGGACCCCCGAGUGUAAGUCCAGAGAGCUCCCCUGCAGCCCCACCCUGACUUUCCAGGAUGAGCCUUCUCUAGGAAGCCACUGCUCAUUCGGAAAGUGAAGAACGCCUGUGUUUCCAACACCAACCCCAGCUCUGCUGACAUCUCAGGAUGGCAGGACCACGCGUGAUGGAAUACCAGGCAGGGGAGACUCAAAUUUAUAAGUUACAUGAGAUAUUUUGAAACAGGCACACAAUGCAUAAUCACAUCAGGGUAAAUGGGGUAUCCAUUAUGUCAAGCAUUUAUCAUUUCUUUGUGUUACAAACAUUCCAGUUAUAUGUUUAGUUAUUUUAAAAUGCACAAUAAGUUGUUGUUGACUGUGGUCACUCCAUUGUGCUAUCAAAUAGUAGAUCUUAUCUUAUUCAUUCUAUCUAACUAUAUUUUUGUAUCCAUUAACCAGCCCCACUUCUCACUUCUCCAGCUUCCAUUCCCAGCCUCUGGUAACCAUCAUUCUACUAUCUAUCUCCAGGAAUUCAAUUGUUUUAAUUUUUAGUCUCCACAAAUCAGUGAGAACACGCAGUUUAUCUUUCUGUGUCUCUCUUAUUUCACUUAACAUAAUAUCCUCCAGCUCCAUCCAUGUUGCUGCAAAUGAUAGAAUCUCAUCUUUUUUUCAAUUGCUGAAUAGUACUCCGAAACAGUGUGUAUUUGGUAAGUGCUGAUAUAUGUAAACACCACUGAAGUCUUCAGCAAAAUCAGAAUAAUGAACAUGUGUCAAUCCCAAAAACUUCUAUCUGUCUUCUUUGUAUUUCAUUUCUCCCAUCCCUCUACCCCCAUCCCCCAUCCCCAGGCAAAACUAAUCUGCUUCCUUUAUUUACUAUUGGUUAGUUUGCAUUUUCUAGAAUUUUGUAUAAAUAGACUCAUAUAGAAUGUACUCUGUUUUGGUCUAGUUUCUUUAAUUUAGCAUAAUUAUUGUGAGAUGCAUCUAUGUUGUUGCAUACAUCUUUUUUUUUUGCUGAGUAGUAAUCUAUUGUAUAAAUGUAACACCAAUUUACUAUUUCAUUGAUAGAUAUUUUAGUUGUUUCCAAGUUUAGUUUAGGUUAUUACUUAAACAUGAAAUUAUGAAUGUUCAUGUUUAAGUCAUUGUGUGAAAACAUGCUUUUAUUAUUUUUGAAUAUAUACCUAGAAGUAAAAUUGUUGGAUCAUAUGGUUAGUAUAUGUUUACUUUUCUGGGAUAAUGUCAAUGUCUUAGUAUAUAUUCUAGAUGUUGUUUUUUCUUGUUACUUUACUUUUUAAUCAAAAUAAUCUGUCAAUAACUUUAGAGAAGUAAAAUUUUCUUCUAGAAUUCCCCAU
rnacentral:lncRNA from 1 species